ensembl:snoRNA
AGGCACUGCCCCCGAACCUCUGUGUGUCUGGCCGUGACCUCAGGGACCUCGUGGCAGUGCCAGAGAAGACCCAGCUUGUCAAGAUCCGGAGCUGCUUAGAUUCCACCUAAGUGAUUCCUUUAGCAGCAAGCGACAUUC